UUUUUCCAGUGACUAUGAGGCAUUGAAAGAAGAAUUGCGCCACCUUGUGCAGAAUUUGAUUGACAACUUCUUGCAGCCGAACAAAAAUAACCUCCAAUCGAACAUUUAAAUCAGAAGUUUUUUUCAGGUCUGUGAGGUAAAUGCUGCUACGAAUGGUCUGCAUCAGGGACAGCCGUUUCCUUGACUCAUGAUAACAAGACUGCUCCCGAUGAUAAAUCGUGUCAGGAUGCAGUCUGAGUUGGCCUUCAUGACUGAAAAAUAUGCUAAUUAGAUAUAUAAUUAUCGUAUUUAAUAUUGAUAAGAACCUACUACUUGCAGGUACAACAUGUAUAAUGUUCAAUAAGCUUCAACAUUAUAGCGCGAACAUAAGCUAGCUGCCUUGAUGUGCUUAAAUUUUGUCAGGAUAAAUCAGAAAUAUAGAUUAGUAUUAAAACUAAACUUACUGCUAACCUAAGCAUGGUUGGACAUUACUUACAGGGGCCUGUUUCUACUGACGAAAAAAAGAACCGUUCUUAAGAACCAUUGUUUUAAGAACGGCUUUUUUUUUGUGGCAGUACAAAUGGGGUCCAUAAGAAGGAACCAUUCUUUUAACAUGCCAAAGAACGUUCUUUGGCACAGAAUAGAAACAAUCCAUGCCUAACACGUGAAGAGUAGUUUCUUACUUAAUAUUGUAUACAUAAAAUUCAUAUUUUAUGUAGGUUAUUAAUGUCGCUAUUAUCCAAAGAUGUAAGAAUGUGUUUUUAUGAUCAUUUGAGUCUUUUAUCCAAAAAGCUUCAAGAGAUGAUUUUUUAAUUACUGAAAGUAUGAUCUUAAUCUGCAGUCAUAUCCUUAAUUUUUGUUGUAGAAAAUUUCUGUCCAGAAUUUUGAACAUGAGUGAUAAUAUAUAUGUUAUGAUUGGCCUUGAAUGAAAGUGUAGUCAUUUGGAAUGAUGGCUAUGUUAUUUAUUUACAAACUGAGUGAUAAACAGUUUGUAGGAAAGCUUUUUAGCACGAGGGUCAUAAAUUAGAUGAGAUAACUUGUGUUACACGCCUAUGAUUAUAAUAUUUCAUUGAUAACUAUAUUAAUAAAAGAACAUUGAUAUUUACUAUGAUAUUGCAUUACAAUCUCUAUUUGAAAUUUAGUUGUGACUUUUUUUAUUGAGGUGCCCACUUUAAAUGUAAGUGUUUGGAUAUAAAUGCUGUAAACUCCAGAAUUUUUUCACAAAUAAGUGAAAUCAACUUCCUUGUUUUAUUUCUAUAAUUUUUACCUAUAUGAUUACAAGUUUUUAACAUAUUUAAACCUCUUAAAUUAGCUGUUCAAUGUUUUAAUUGGAUAUUUUAUUGUUUCCUGUAUUUUAUGACAGAUUAUAUAUACUUAAAUGAGCCAUUCAACGUUUUAAUUGGAUCUAUGAUUAAGAUACUUCUUAUUCUUUUGAAAUCAUAUAAACUUAACAUUAGUUGAUAGCAAUUUAUGAUUACCACAAUUAAUUACCAUAAUUAAUAAAAAAUGUUGUUUGAUCUCAACAUGAAUAGUUUGCCAAGUCUAUUUAAUUACUUUGUGACGUGCAUAAAAACAAGAUUACUUUCUGUAUUUAAAAAUCAGUGUUUUUCAAGACAGUGGUACCAUGGAAUGUAAAUUUAUAAAAUAGCUUGUUUUAGAGUACAAGCACCCCCCUUUCUUGUUUCUUUUCUUCUUCCUUCUUGUCUUCUUCUCUCCCAUGCCCCAACCUUGGAUCUACCAUUGUAGGAGCGUUUUGGUGCAGCUUGUAAAGUGUUCGGACUUCUGAUUGUGAGAUCGGAAGCUCGAGACCGACGCUCGUCGCCUUGCUUGUGUCCUUGGGCAAAUGCACUUUACUUACGUUUGCCUCUCUCCACCCAAGAGUAUAAAUGGGUACCUGAUUGUAUGGCAUUGAAUGUAUGGUUUGUGCACGUUCAAGCAGCAUUGACCAGGAAUACUCCCCCAGUGAGCAGAGAAGGUUGCACACUGUGCAGAUCUGCCAGUUAGUAUCCAGUGACCAGGAAAAUAAUGAUUCCAGCGCCUUGUAUAAUCGCUUCUAAAUAUUUGCGGAUUGUGAAAGGUGCUAUAUCAAUUUAUGGUUCUAUAAAAAAAAAUUGUUAAUAUUUGACAUGUAAAUGUGGUUCUUCCCUUCCAGCCUCUAGGACCUUGGUACUAUAUCAACAAUUAAUAAUAUUAAUAAUUAUCAACAUCAGUAAUAAUAAUUUUUUUUUUUUUUAGCCUGUUCAAACAAAAGGAUUUUGAUUUGUCUACCCUGUUUAAUUAAUGUAUGUUUUAUUUUCUGUAUUUUUAGUGUCUUCAGCGUUGCAUUAUGUAAAAUGAAGUGUAUUCUUUAUAUGUUUUCAUUUUUAGAUCAUGUAAUCAAAUAAAUUAAUAUUUUUUAUUAAUUUUAAAAGACCGCCUGAAAUUAAAUUCUAUUAGGUUGGUUUGAAAGAGUUUGUAUCUGUAUGCUAUAGUUGUUUAUCCUCAGCAUUAUAUGAUAUGAUUACAUCCUUAGCUUGAUGCUUAGGUCAUAUGUGAAGCCUAUUACAGAUAUAUGAAUUAAUAAUGUUUAUCAAUGGAAAAAAUUGUAACUAGUAAAUAUUUGUAAAUGAA
rnacentral:lncRNA from 1 species